AUUGAACGCUGGCGGCAUGCUUUACACAUGCAAGUCGAACGGUAACAGGCCGCCAGGUGCUGACGAGUGGCGAACGGGUGGGUAAUGCAUCGGAACGUGCCCAGUCGUGGGGGAUAACUACUCGAAAGAGUAGCUAAUACCGCAUACGAUCUAUGGAUGAAAGCGGGGGACCGUAAGGCCUCGCGCGAUUGGAGCGGCCGAUGUCAGAUUAGGUAGUUGGUGGGGUAAAGGCUCACCAAGCCAACGAUCUGUAGCUGGUCUGAGAGGACGACCAGCCACACUGGGACUGAGACACGGCCCAGACUCCUACGGGAGGCAGCAGUGGGGAAUUUUGGACAAUGGGCGCAAGCCUGAUCCAGCAAUGCCGCGUGCAGGAAGAAGGCCUUCGGGUUGUAAACUGCUUUUGUACGGAACGAAACGGCUCUGGUUAAUACCCGGGGCUAAUGACGGUACCGUAAGAAUAAGCACCGGCUAACUACGUG
rnacentral:rRNA from 1 species